GAGUUUGAUCCUGGCUCAGAUUGAACGCUGGCGGCAUGCCUUACACAUGCAAGUCGAACGGCAGCACGGGAGCUCGCUCCUGGUGGCGAGUGGCGAACGGGUGAGUAAUGCAUCGGAACGUAUCCUGGAGUGGGGGAUAACGUAGCGAAAGUUACGCUAAUACCGCAUAUUCUGUGAGCAGGAAAGCGGGGGACCUUCGGGCCCCGCGCUCUUGGAGCGGCCGAUGUCGGAUUAGCUAGUUGGUGAGGUAAAGGACGUCACCAAGGCGACGAUCCGUAGCAGGUCUGAGAGGAUGAUCUGCCACACUGGAACUGAGACACGGUCCAGACUCCUACGGGAGGCAGCAGUGGGAAUUUUGGACAAUGGGGCGAACCCUGAUCCAGCCAUGCCGCGUGAGUGAAGAAGGCCUCGGUU
rnacentral:rRNA from 1 species